UACGGGGGGGGCAAGCGUUGUCCGGAGUUACUGGGCGUAAAGCGCGCGCAGGCGGCGGUGCUGGCCCGGCGUGAAAGCCCCCGGCUCAACCGGGGAGGGUCGUCGGGGACCGCACCGCUUGAGGGCGGUAGGGGCUGGUGGAAUGCCUGGUGUAGUGGUGAAAUGCGUAGAGAUCAGGCGGAACACCCGUGGCGAAGGCGGCCAGCUGGGCCGUCCCUGACGCUGAGGCGCGAAGGCGUGGGGAGCGAACGGG
rnacentral:rRNA from 1 species